rnacentral:rRNA from 1 species
CCUACGGGGAGCUGCAGUGAGGAAUAUUGGUCAAUGGACGAGAGUCUGAACCAGCCAAGUAGCGUGAAGGAUGACUGCCCUAUGGGUUGUAAACUUCUUUUAUAAAGGAAUAAAACGAGGCACGUGUGCCUUUUUGCAUGUACUUUAUGAAUAAGGAUCGGCUAACUCCGUGCCAGCAGCCGCGGUAAUACGGAGGAUCCGAGCGUUAUCCGGAUUUAUUGGGUUUAAAGGGAGCGUAGAUGGGUUGUUAAGUCAGUUGUGAAAGUUUGCGGCUCAACCGUAAAAUUGCAAUUGAUACUGGCAGUCGUGAGUACAGUUGAGGUAGGCGGAAUUCGUGGUGUAGCGGUGAAAUGCUUAGAUAUCACGAAGAACCCCGAUUGCGAAGGCAGCUUACUAAACUGUGACUGACAUUGAUGCUCGAAAGUGUGGGUAUCAAACAGGAUUAGAUACCCCGGUAGUC